UACGAAGGGGGCUAGCGUUGUUCGGAUUUACUGGGCGUAAAGCGCACGUAGGCGGAUCGUUAAGUCGGGGGUGAAAUCCUGGAGCUCAACUCCAGAACUGCCUUCGAUACUGGCGAUCUUGAGUCCGGAAGAGGUGAGUGGAACUCCUAGUGUAGAGGUGGAAUUCGUAGACAUUAGGAAGAACACCAGUGGCGAAGGCGGCUCACUGGUCCGGUACUGACGCUGAGGUGCGAAAGCGUGGGGAGCAAACAGG
rnacentral:rRNA from 1 species